ensembl:lncRNA
GGAUAACAUUCCUAGCCCUAAGUCUGUCACCUAGUCCUUUCACGAGCUGAUCCCUCAGGCCUCCUUGCCAGAAGCUUCCACAGAACACCAUUCUCCCCCCGGAAGGUCUCCUCCUGGCAUCAAAGCGUUUCUCUUCUUGCCCUUUCCUUGUAGGUUUCCUUUUCCAUCUGCCAGGAGGAAAGGUGGUCCUUUAAGGGCAGAGACCUAGCUCACUUAUCUUUUUUUUUCCUCACCCCCCAGUGCUUAGCAUAUACCCGGAGCCAAGUCAGUGCUUUUGUAAGAAUGGAGUCACCAUGGAAUUGCGAAACAGCAAGAGCUGGUUCAGGCAGGCAAGCAGCUGGAACCAGGAAACGGUUAAAGGCAGGAGGGAUCCACUUCACUCUGGGCUGGUGGCCAUCUGCUUCCGGCCUUCCUGUCCCUCCCACGGUGGACGGUGGACGCAGGCUUCCUGCAGUCUGGGAGGGGGUCUGAGUGGGAGAGUCAGAAACCCAGGGGUGAAGGGGCUCCCCGAGCCCCGAAUGAGGGCGUUCAGAAAAGUGGCUCAGCAUCGAGGGACUUCUGACUCUCUUUGUGAGAAAGACCAGGUGGGCAGGGCCCCUGGGAGUGAGUGCAAUGGGGAGUUUGCUCCCCAGAAGAUGUGGCUGGGCCUCUCCUGGAGCCACAAGGGAACCGACAGUUCGUUCCAGGUCGCCCAGCCCGAGAGGCUUGAGAGGAAGGCAAAGAUUCAUGGUGGGCACUAGACACAGGACUCAAUUCCUGGACUAUGUGCUUUCCAGCUAGCUCCACGGACUACAUCAAGGCAUCAUGCCGGGCUUCCCUGUCCUUCACCAUCUCCCAGAGAUUGCUCAAACUCAUGUCCAUUGAGUCAGUGAUGCCAUCCAACCAUCUCAUCCUCUGUCGUCCCCUUCUCCUCCUGCCUUCAACUUCCCUGAACUGUACACACCAUGAAUUGAUUGCCCCACACUUUCCACCCACUCUUUCUAAAUUGUACCUUUCGGGACUACACAGACCAAGUUUCCUCAAAAUACCAACCUUCAAAUAGUGGGGGAAAGCUAUGAUUUUCCCACCGGAAUCUAGUCUUUCUCAGGCUAAAUGUCUCCUUCUCUUUCAACGCUUGCCCCGGUCAACCCGCCACCCUUUGAGUGACUCCCCUCAAGGUCAUCCGACAGUGGCAAAAUCAUCAGGCGACAAAUGCUGUCUCUUGCUCACUCCAAAGUUUCAGGAACUGGCUCAUGAGGUUUUCAGCAGUAAAGAAAUGGAGGGGUGAGUGAAUCUGUGCUCCCACCUCCAUCCUUCUCCCAGACGAGAAAAAGGCAGCCUAGAGGGGCUAUGAGAUUUGCCCCAAGUUGACCCACUUAACUGCAGAGUUGGGAGACAGACAGGCCCCCUGAUACCUAGUCCAGGGCUUUCCAUCUCUCCUGCCUUCCUUCUGUCAGAUUCUGAGAGAGAACAAAGUGUCUGCAGCAACUUGGAAUUAACACCAUUGGCCUGAAAGGUGGUCUCCGAUUACCCAUCGUCUUGAACCUGGAGGCUUCCCUGGAGGGGAGGAGGGACUUUCCCUCCACCUUCCUAGGUUCAAUAGCUGAGUCUGUGACUUAAACAGACAGCAGGCAGGUUGAGAGCAAAAAAGGUGCACACACGUAUUCAUUUUACUAUUAUGUGUGGUGGGCAUCACACAAAAAAAGUGAAUACUCAGUAAACUGGUCCACCGAUCUUAGACUGUAAGGAUUGGAACUCAAUCUGAAUUCAUCUUUGUAUCCCCGGCCCUGAUCAGGGCAGCUGACACAGAACAGACACUCAAAUGCAUGCAGAGUCAGUCACUGGUAAUGCCCUUUACUGUGGGUAACUUAUAAUUCAACUUGUGGAAAAUGGUGGCUGCUUCCAUAAAAGGUAAGAGAGCCUGUUAAGGAAGAAGGUGAGUCCUGGUUUGACAAGUUGAGACCUCUGGGUUUUGUUCCAUUGAGUCAUGUUUGACCACUCACUGUCUAGACCUGUUUGAGAAACAAACAAACAAAAAACCCUUUAAUAGUUGUGAAUAAGUAUAUCACACUUGCUUUUCUCUCUCCAGGGCAAAUAAUUCCAGUCCCUUUGGAGAUCCAGUGAUCAGAAAACAUACUCUAAUAAGAUGUUAUGAUAUCUUGGAUACGAUGGAAGUUCGCGAAGAGUCAGACACAGCAGCAUCCUACUUAAAUAUAUCCUGGCAUUUCAUGAACUUAAUACAACAUGGUGGAGCUGGCAUUUCUCUAAUGCUUUUUUUUUCUUUGUCCAAUCUGCCUGCUGUCAAUUUGUUUCACAGACCCAGCUAUCGAACCUAAGAAGGUAGAAGAAAAGUCCUUCCUCACCUACACGGGAGCCUCCAGGUUCAAGACUGGUGGUGAUCUGAGGACACUUUUAGCGCUGCUGUUAAUUCCUUCAAGUUGCUGCAAAUACUUGUAAGUUUUCUCUCAGAACCUGAUAGAAGGAAGGCAGGAGAGAUGGACAGAGCCCUGGACUAGGUAUCAAGUGGUCUGCCUUUCUCCUGAUUCUGCAGCUAAGUGGGUCAACUUGGGGCAAAUCUCACAACUCCUCUAGGAUGCCAUUUUCUCAUCUGUAAGAAGGGCAAGGAGAUCCAACCAGUCCAUGCUAAAGGAAAUCAGUCCUGAAUAGUCAUUGGAAGGACUGAUGUUGAAGUUGAAACUCUAAUACUUUGGCCACCUAAUGCGAAGAGCUGACUCAUUUGAAAAGAUCCUGAUGCUGGAAAAGGUUGAAGGCAGGAGGAGAAGGGACAAUAGAGGAUAAGGUGAUUGGAUGGCAUCACUGACUCAGUGGGCAUGAGUUUGAGUAAACUCUGGGACUUGGUGAUGGACAGGGAGGCCUGGCAUGCUGCAGUCCAUGGGGUCGCAAAGAGUCAGACACGACUGAGUGACUGAACUGAACUGAAGAAGGGCAGAGGUGGGAAGCCUAGAUUGAGUCACUGCUCUAAUCGUUUACUGCUGAAAAUGCAGUGAGCCGAUUGCUGAGACUUUGGGGUGAGCAAGAGACAGGAUUUGUUGCGUGAUGGUUUGGUACUCUCAUCCUGUUGAAUAACUGGCUGGAUACCUACUUGAUGGUGUUUCCCUCUAUUUCUUUACUUAAAUGAUCUGCUCUCUAAUUGCUUUUCUUCUCUUAAGUGGGUAUUAAGGAGAUAUCCAAUUUUUUCUUUCUUGGCUUGUAGCCAUGGCUUCUUGUCCCAGAGGCUUCUGAGCCUGUGAAUAAUUAUCUGGUUUAAGUAAAGGAUGCCCUGAAGGUAAUAACAUACAUUGC